rnacentral:rRNA from 1 species
AAUAGAUACCCUGGUAGUCCACGCCGUAAACGAUGAGUGCUAGGUGUUGGUGGGGACACCCAUCAGUGCCGCAGCUAACGCAUUAAGCACUCCGCCGUGGGGAGUACGGUCGCAAGACUGAAACUCAAAGGAAUUGACGGGGACCCGCACAAGCAGCGGAGCAUGUGGUUUAAUUCGACGCAACGCGAAGAACCUUACCAGGGCUUGACAUCCCUCUGACAGAUCUAGAGAUAGGGCUUUCUCUUCGGAGACAGAGGUGACAGGUGGUGCAUGGUUGUCGUCAGCUCGUGUCGUGAGAUGUUGGGUUAAGUCCCGCAACGAGCGCAACCCUUGCCUUUAGUUGCCAUCAGGUAAAGCUGGGCACUCUAGAGGGACUGCCGGUGACAAACCGGAGGAAGGUGGGGAUGACGUCAAAUCAUCAUGCCCCUUAUGUCCUGGGCUACACACGUGCUACAAUGGUCGGUACAACGGGAAGCGAGACUGCGAAGUUAAGCAAAUCCCAAUAAGCCGAUCCCAGUUCGGAGUUG